rnacentral:rRNA from 1 species
NAUUACCCACUCCNGGCACGGGGAGGUAGUGACNNAAAAUAACAAUACGGGACUCUAUUGAGGCCCCGUAAUUGGAAUGGGUACACUCUAAACCCUUUAA